rnacentral:rRNA from 1 species
AGCACUUUAUUUGAUUUCCUUCGGGACUGAUUAUUUUGUGACUGAGUGGCGGACGGGUGAGUAACGCGUGGGUAACCUGCCUUGUACAGGGGGAUAACAGUUGGAAACGGCUGCUAAUACCGCGUAAGCGCACAGCAUCGCAUGAUGCAGUGUGAAAAACUCCGGUGGUAUAAGAUGGACCCGCGUUGGAUUAGCUAGUUGGUGAGGUAACGGCCCACCAAGGCGACGAUCCAUAGCCGACCUGAGAGGGUGACCGGCCACAUUGGGACUGAGACACGGCCCAAACUCCUACGGGAGGCAGCAGUGGGGAAUAUUGCACAAUGGGCGAAAGCCUGAUGCAGCGACGCCGCGUGAGCGAAGAAGUAUUUCGGUAUGUAAAGCUCUAUCAGCAGGGAAGAUAAUGACGGUACCUGACUAAGAAGCACCGGCUAAAUACGUGCCAGCAGCCGCGGUAAUACGUAUGGUGCAAGCGUUAUCCGGAUUUACUGGGUGUAAAGGGAGCGCAGGCGGUGCGGCAAGUCUGAUGUGAAAGCCCGGGGCUCAACCCCGGUACUGCAUUGGAAACUGUCGUACUAGAGUGUCGGAGGGGUAAGCGGAAUUCCUAGUGUAGCGGUGAAAUGCGUAGAUAUUAGGAGGAACA